rnacentral:misc_RNA from 1 species
GAUGAAGAACGCAGCGAAAUGCGAUAAGUAGUGUGAAUUGCAGAUUUCAGUGAAUCAUCGAAUCUUUGAACGCACAUUGCGCCCCUUGGUAUCCCGAGGGGCAUGCCUGUUCGAGCGUCAUUUCACCACUCAAGCCUGGCUUGGUGUUGGGCGACGUCCCCUUUGGGGACGCGCCUCGAAACGCUCGGCGGCGUGGCACCGGCUUUAAGCGUAGCAGAAUCUUUCGCUUUGGAAGUCGGGGCCCCGUCUGCCGGAAGACCUACUCGCAAGGUUGACCUCGGAUCAGGCAGGGAUACCCGCUGAACUUAAGCAUAUCAAUAAGCGGAGGA